rnacentral:lncRNA from 1 species
AGACCCAUGUUUGGGAAACCUUGAUCUAGUCCAACCUCCUGCAAUGCAGGAAUAUGCAAUUGUCCCAUAUGGAGCUAGAACCUGCAACAUUGGCACCACACUCUUAACCAACUGAGCUAUCUUCUGAAUGUGUGAGAGAGUAGUACCCUCAAUCUCAUUGACACUUCCUUCUGAACAGACCUACAUUGGAAUUCUAAUCUCAGGUAGCCAUGAUGAAAAUGGAAGCUGAGUGGUUUUUAUUUCUGACUCCACUCAGAAUUGACUCUGGCUAAACUCAUGAAAUCAGCCCUGAGUGCUCACUGGAAGGACAGAUCCUGAAGCUGAGGCUCCAAUACUUCAGCCACCUCAUGAGAAGAGAAGACUCCCUGGAAAAGACCCUGAUGUUGGGAAAGAUUGAAGGCACAAGGAGAAGGGAACAACAGAGGAUGAGAUGGUUGGACAGUGUUCUCGAAGCUACGAACAUGAGUUUGACCAAUCUGCGGGAGGCAGUGGAAGGCAGGAGUGCCUGGCGUGCUCUGGUCCAUGGGGUCAUGAAAAGUCAGACACGACUAAACAACUAAACAACAACAAAACUCAUUGCUGGCAUGCAGAUUCCAACAGAUAUCCCCACCCGCCAGGGGAAAAGCUGUUGACAAAAGAAAAGUUACCCACCUGGUGCAGUUUUGUGUAAUCCGAUUGGCUGAAGCUCCUUCUUUAACUGCAAAUGGGAGGGACCAAACCCUGGGACUUCCUGUAAGCAAAGCAUGUCUUCAGUCACUGAUCAAGGAUUUCUCCUUUUACUCAGCCGUGUGUUGCCAAAGCAUACCCUGGCUGUUACUGGGAUGAGUGGGUGGGGUUUUUUUGUAUGUUGCAUGAAAAUGUUAAUGCAUUUAUGUUUAUGUUUUUAAAUGUAAGUUGCUUGGGGAUGUUUUAGGUGGCAAACGACUAAGUCUAACCAGUAGUGAUAACAACAAGCAACGAUAAAUGAUAAAUUGGAAGAGGAUAAAGAAAGCCUUCGGAGAGUGUCCAGGAUGCUUUUAAAAAUAACAAAAUGAAAGCAAAACAAACUACUACCAGAUACUAUACCAAUCUUGGUCCAAGAGUCCUUUGAAAAUGCAUGUUUGUAUUAAAAUAGGUUUUUGAGAAAAGAAUUAAAAUAAAGAGUUGGGAAGCAUCCUCACAGCUUGGCAUGAUUUGAGAAUCGUUUGGUCUUCUUGUAGCGCCUUGUUUGUUUUUCCUGUGACAAGAAGGCUUAAAAGAAGCAGAAAAUGUUUGCUUUAAAGGGUACUGUAUAAAUAGAGAACUCAUCCGUUCUGUCUAAAGAGCCCUUAUUAAUGUGGCGGCUCCAUAGCCGGAGUACAUGCAUAUGUCAUAUUAUAUGACAGGGCAUUGUUUGCUAUACAGCCUUCUGGGUUCAGACAUAUGUCAUUUCAAAUAACCAAGCUUAGAGGGCUAGUGCAAACAAUUCCUUUUGACAUUAGGUCUGUGGUCAGGAAGUCAGCCUAUUAAUGCACACUUGCAAAUAUUUUUCUUGUGAUUUGCUAUUCAUGUCGGCCAAUUCAAACCACCUUUUGUAGUUAAAAUGAAGAAGCCCUCUCUCUUUCCAGCUGCUGUUGCACUAAAAGAAACUUGCUUGUUUUUCUCCUGUGCCUGUCUUAUACCGCUCUGCACAUGAGGAAACACUGAACAGCACAUGAAUAUGCAGUGUGAGGUGUCUUGCCUCUGCUUAUCUCUGUAACUCCCUGUAUGCCCCCCAGUAGUACACUGGAAUAUCCACUCCCAGCUCUUUGGGGCAGAUUAUUAUUAUUAAUAAUAAUAAUUUUUAUUUAUACCCCGCCCUCCCCAGCCAAGGCCGGGCUCAGAGCGGCUUACAAGCAAUAAUAAAAACAAGUUGAAUGAUUACAACUUAAAAACAAAAUUAAAAUACAACAUUAAAAUAUUGAAACAUUAAAAUAUUAAAAUGUAGCCUCAUCGCAGGAGGAGAAGGAAAGGAAAAAGAAAGAGAGGGAGGGAGGGAAUCAAAUUGGCUCCAAGCCAAAGGCCAGGCGGAACAACUCUGUCUUACAGGCCCUGUGGAAAGAAGUCAAAUCCUGCAGGGCCCUGGUCUCAUGAGACAGAGUGUUCCACCAGGCUGGAGCCAGAGUUGAAAAGGCCCUGGCUCUGGUUGAAGCCAAUCUAACUUCCUUAGGGCCCGGGACCACUAGGGUGUUGCUAUUUAUGGACCUUGAGGCUCUCCGUGGGGCAUACCGGGAGAGGCGGUCCCAUAGGUACGAGGGUCCUAGGCCGUGAAGGGCUUUAAAGGUCAAAAGCAGCACCUUAAAUCUGACCCUGUACUCUACCGGGAGCCAGUGCAGUUUGAAAAGCAGUGGAUGAAUAUGCUCCCAUGGCAGAGACCCCGUGAGGAGCCUCGCUGAAGCAUUCUUCACCCUCUGGAGUUUCUGGGUCAGCUUCAAGGGCAGCCCCGCGUAGAGCAAAUUACAGUAGUCAAGCCUGGAGAUGACCGUCGCAUGGAUCACUGUGGCCAGGUCAGGGCGGGUGCAUAUCAUUAUUGGUGCAUAUCAUCUAAAGGUUCAGGGCAAUCUUAUUUCCCCAUAAAAAUCAACACACAAUGGUUUACAUUGACCAUAGGGAACACCAUAUCCGUAUGAUUUCACCUGUUUUUUUUUGAAAUGGGGUUAUUUUUUAGUAAUGAGGAGGUGGGCACUUCUCAGAGUACCCACUUUCAGAAAUAGGCAUCCAUUGUAGAGGUGAAAACUGAGGCAUAUUGCCUAUUGGUAUCCAUAAAUUAUCUGGAAGACUUUGUUAAUAUGAUUUGUCUUUGUAUGGGCUUACAACCGAGCUUUAAUUGACUAAGGCAUGCUUUAGAGUGAUUUAUAAUUGUCCAUUCAAUGUAAUCACAUGCUAUUUUCAUGCAGAACAUUUGUAGUGACACCUAGAUAGUGUAAUUUAUAAGUACAGGUGCAAAUUUAGAAAUAAUUAAUACAAUUUUAAUGGAAAUGAAAUAAUCUAACCCUAGUGGGGAAGAUAUCAGGUGAUUUGUGUGCCUGCUUAGUCUUCUGAUCGGGUGAUGCUAAGUGUUGGUAUUGUUGAAGUGUUCAUAUUGUUUCUUAUCUUCAAAUCAGGCUUGAACUGGAUAGCUCUCAAGCAUAGGACACCUUCAAAGAGGGGGCUGUCAAAGAGAAGGCAUUCUUUACCUAGUGUAGCCUGGAAGAUAUGAAUUUACAGUCAGGUUUCGUUUUG